rnacentral:rRNA from 1 species
GUUAUGCCUGUUUGGUUUUAGGUUGGGGUGACCACGGAGUAUAAAACAACCUCCAUGAAAAAAGGACCAAAAAUCCUUAUAGAGAAAGACAUUUCUAAAAUUAAUAAAUUAAUUUUUAAUGAUCCGAUAUUCGAUCAACGAACCAAGUUACCCUGGGGAUAACAGCGCAAUCCACUUCAAGAGCUCCUAUCGACAAGUGGGUUUACGACCUCGAUGUUGGAUCAGGGUAUCCUAGUGGUGCAGCAGCUACUAACGGUUCGUUUGUUCAACGAUUAAAACCCU